rnacentral:lncRNA from 1 species
AUGGCUAUAAAAACAGCGAUGGCGGCGGCGGUGCCACAUUCAGGGAUGGAGGGGAGAAAACUUUCAGAGACGCAGGGCCUGCUCAGGUCCUUCUACACCAUCGGCAGCCCCCAGAGUGACGGAUCCCAUCCGUCGCUGAAUAUCAAGCUGGGAUGCUGCGAAGCGGCGCUCACCUGUUUCCACGACAACCUUAAGAACGUCACGGCGCAGCACGAGAUAGCGUCGGGCAUGCAAUUGUUCAGCAGUCUGAAAAACUCAAACCUGAGGAAGGCUGUCCAGUGCAAAGACCCUGGCCCCGCCCCGGUACGUAGAGCCCGCCUCCAGCCUCUCACACGUGUUAUAAUCAUGUACAGGACAGUACAGGACAGUACAGUAUGAACAGGUUGUACUAAACAUGAACUACAGUACAGUACAAUACAGUACAGCAGAGGAGAGGACAGUACAGUAUGAACAGGUUGCACUGAACAUGAACUACAGUUACAGUACAGUACAGUAUUGUACUAAACAUGAACUACAGUACAGUACAGUAUGAACAGGUUGUACUAAACAUGAACUACAGUUCAGUACAGUCUGAACAGGGGUUCAUACUGGGGUGAGGAGUCAUACCCCUUAGUGUGAUGGGUUGUACCCCCUAGUGACCGGGUCUCUCUGUUCCCCUCAGGAUCAUUCCUGCCCAGCCUGCGAUUCUUUCCCCAGGACGAAGGCGGAGCUUGUCAACCAGCUGUCCCAGUUCCUCGAAAAGGUAAGGAGAGUCGGCCUUGUGACCCUUUGACCCUAGCGGGCUGGGUCAGAGCGAGGCGCUAGGCUGAACCUCUCAUCUUAAACAAACCCUACCUCGGUGGGAUUGAUGAUCGACCCUAACAUGAUGUACUGUCCUCUCCAGGCAGCGAGCAGCUUGUCUACAAAAAGACGGGGAUGAAUCCACCAACUAGGACGCAGCUGAACCCACCAAUCCGGACGCAGCUGAACCCAUCAGACCUCAUCUACAUUCAAAUUUUUAUUUAAGAGCAGCUCACAAUAAUGUAUUCCCAUUAACAGGCCAUAGAUCUUAUUCAUAUGAAUAUUUAUUUUCUUUGUAUUAACUGAUUUACUUAUUUAAUAUUUAUUAAUUUAUUAUUUAUUCAUUUAUUUAUACAGAGUGUGUGGACACUUGGUUAUUGGUUCUUAAAGAACCUAUGAUUUGCUACCGUUCAUGGUAAUUUAUUUAUUUACAAAUAAAAUUAUUUUUAUUUAAUAAAAAUGCCUUUGUCUUGUUUUUGAUACUGAGUCACAUGAUGAAUCUGCUUCUGCCUUAUUAUUAUUUCACCAUUUAAAUUGCUAAUAUUUCCCUGUUGCCCAUCUCUUUAAAAAAAAAAUUGUCCUUAAUUAAAAUUGUCCUUAAGAGGUGCCUCCUUUCGAACAUAGGAAAAGACAGCACUGUUUAAAAUGAAUUAGACUCCACUUUUCAGAAACCAACAUCAUUGCGUGACGGCGAGUAUUGCUGACAUCUAGCGUCUCUAGCGUGGACCUAUAGUUUUCCGGAGUUGGACUACAACAUGUGCUCUUUCGAUCCAUGCAUUCUUGUCGCAUUGAUUUCAAUCAUGAUGUCGCCAAAAGUGAGAAUCACAUAGGCCCAGGGGCGUAGGAACGUGUUUAACAUUGGAGGGGACACAUAUCGGAAACCUGACAGAUUCAUUGAUGGUUCGAAGAGAAAUAUGUCAUAAAUGAACUACACUGCAAAACAUUCACAAAUGUAUUUUAUUAUUCUAAAAAUAUACAUUUGUAAAGGAAAACACAUUUUGAAUGGCAGUAUUGAACUGAUACAUAUCAAAUCAAUUAUUUAAUUGCAGGCCUUAUCAUACAGUUUUGUAGACUGAUAAAUAACAUGUGAAAAAUAUUGAUCUAAAUUUGAAUUCGUAUUUUCUGAAUACCUUUUCUUUUCUUAGUUGUAGCCUAUCUUAUGCCUCAAUGAACACACAGGCAAAGGUUAAGGUUAAAGAGAAAAACAGCAUCAAGAAUUUUAACACGGUUCUAUCAACAUCCUUUCUGUACCGACAGCGAUAUAUUGAUGCACUUCUUAUGACAAAUGUACUUAUUGUAAGUAGCUUUGGAUAAAAGCGGCUGCUAAAUGCCCUAAAUGUAAACGUAAAUGUAACUUGUUUUUAAUCUCGAGUAGGCCUAUGUGAUAUUAUUCGAACAUUUCCACUAACUGAUUGGUGUGUGAAGGCAAACGAAAACGACAUUAGAAUGGAUGUAAUGAACUGAUAAAUAUAAAUUAGUUUGUAGAACUGAUACAAAUAAAAGCUAGAUAGCACUGUAGUGUUAUCCAACAGUGUCAAACGUGCCGUGACACACAAAAGGUUGAAAAACUAUGGCCUAGGCAAAAGAGCCAAAAUGUUUUCUUCUCCUGUCAUUUGCAGCCACGAAAUGCUUGCAAAUUGACUUCUUGUCAGUAAGUCAAGUCUAUCCUGAUGGACAUGACAGACAGCAACAUGGUUGAGUCUGUUUUGAGACAUUGUGGACCGGAGCCAGGUUUUGAGCCUGCGGAGGACACUAAAACUUCUCUGCUAUUCUACUGCCGUCUUUUCAUUUUAACAGCUCUAACCUGUUGCGUUAGCUGCAGACACCCGCAUCUCAAACAGUCUGAGCCGUUGAUGGGAUGCGGCAGCUUAUGGCUGUCUUGCGAGACAGCCGUAUUCACGCGAGAUCACGAGAUCACGCGAUUAGAGUUGCAGGCUGGCAGCGAUCAGCAGCGGUGACAGCGGCGCUUACGUCCCCGAUGGAAAGCAGGCAACUAUUCUUCUAGGCAGCGAUUCGAAGGCGUUUCCAGCCUGAAGUCCUUAUAACUUCCAACCGCCCCCAACCCUACGCGCUGCCAUACAUGGGGCAGGUGACAAGACGCUGCGUUGCGCUUUCAAAAUAAAAGCGAGUAAAAUAUAAAAAAUAUAUAUAUAUAUUUUGCGGUAUAAUUUUUGGGGGGGACAAAUGCGCCUGUCUCGAAAAUUGGAGGGGACACGUCCCCUCCGUCCCCCCCGGUUCCUACGCCCUUGCGGCCUAUAGGCUGGACUUGGCCAACGGGAAUAUUUUGGGCCACUUGAAUCCCACAUGUGAAAAA